rnacentral:rRNA from 1 species
UACGAAGGGGGCUAGCGUUGCUCGGAAUCACUGGGCGUAAAGGGUGCGUAGGCGGGCUUUUAAGUCAGGGGUGAAAUCCUGGAGCUCAACUCCAGAACUGCCUUUGAUACUGAAGACCUUGAGUCCGGGAGAGGUGAGUGGAACUGCGAGUGUAGAGGUGAAAUUCGUAGAUAUUCGCAAGAACACCAGUGGCGAAGGCGGCUCACUGGCCCGGUACUGACGCUGAGGCACGAAAGCGUGGGGAGCAAACAGG